GCAUAUCAAUAAGCGGAGGAAAAGAAACCAACAGGGAUUGCCUCAGUAACGGCGAAGUGAAGCGGCAACAGCUUCAAAUUUGAAAUCUGGCUCUUUCAGGGUCCGAGUUGUAAUUUGUAGAGGAUGUUUCGGGUGUGGCUCCGGUCUAAGUUCCUUGGAACAGGACGUCAUAGAGGGUGAGAAUCCCGUAUGUGACUGGUAGCCUAUGCCCAUGUGAAACUCCUUCGACGAGUCGAGUUGUUUGGGAAUGCAGCUCAAAAUGGGUGGUAAAUUUCAUCUAAAGCUAAAUAUUGGCCAGAGACCGAUAGCGCACAAGUAGAGUGAUCGAAAGAUGAAAAGCACUUUGGAAAGAGAGUUAAACAGUACGUGAAAUUGUUGAAAGGGAAGCGCUUGCAACCAGACUUGCAUGUAGCUGAUCAACCGGUGUUCUCACCGGUGCACUCAGUUGCGUUCAGGCCAGCAUCGGUUUCGACGGUUGGAUAAAGGCCUUGGGAAUGUAGCUUCUUUCGGGGAGUGUUAUAGCCCAGGGUGCAAUGCAGCCUGUUGGGACCGAGGACCGCGCUUCGGCUAGGAUGCUGGCGUAAUGGUUGUAAGCGACCCGUCUUGAAACACGGACCAAGGAGUCUAACAUCUAUGCGAGUGUUUGGGUGUCAAACCCAUACGCGUAAUGAAAGUGAACGGAGGUGAGAACCCUUAAGGGUGCAUCAUCGACCGAUCCUGAUGUCUUCGGAUGGAUUUGAGUAAGAGCAUAGCUGUUGGGACCCGAAAGAUGGUGAACUAUGCCUGAAUAGGGUGAAGCCAGAGGAAACUCUGGUGGAGGCUCGCAGCGGUUCUGACGUGCAAAUCGAUCGUCAAAUUUGGGGUAUAGGGGCGAAAGACUAAUCGAACCAUCUAGUAGCUGGUUCCUGCCGA
rnacentral:rRNA from 1 species